AGAGUUUGAUCAUGGCUCAGGACGAACGCUGGCGGCGUGCUUAACACAUGCAAGUCGUGGGCACCAGCAAUGGUGACCGGCGAACGGGUGCGUAACACGUGAGCGACCUUCCGAUUUGUGGGGGAUAGCCGGCCCAACGGCCGGGUAAUACCGCAUACGUCAAGCGAACUGCAUGGCUCGCUUGGGAAACCUCCGGGGCA
rnacentral:rRNA from 1 species